rnacentral:rRNA from 1 species
GGAGGGUGCGAGCGUUAUCCGGAAUUACUGGGUUUAAAGGGUGCGUAGGCGGCCAUGUAAGUCARGAGUGAAAGUUUGCGGCUCAACCGUAAAAUUGCUUUUGAUACUGCAUGGCUGGAAUCAGGAUGAGGUCAGCGGAAUGUGGCAUGUAGCGGUGAAAUGCAUAGAUAUGCCAUAGAACACCAAUUGCGAAGGCAGCUGGCUAGACCUGUAUUGACGCUGAGGCACGAAAGCGUGGGGAGCGAACAGGAUUAGAUACCCUGGUAGUCCACGCCCUAAACGAUGCUUACUCGGCGUAUGAAGCUUGUCUUUGUGCGUCCAAGGGAAACCGUUAAGUAAGCCACCUGGGGAGUACGACCGCAAGGUUG